GAUCAUGGCUCGAGAUGAACGCUAGCGGGAGGCCUAACACAUGCAAGCCGAGCGGUAUUGUUUCUUCGGAAAUGAGAGAGCGGCGUACGGGUGCGGAACACGUGUGCAACCUGCCUUUAUCUGGGGAUAGCCUUUCGAAAGGAAGAUUAAUACUCCAUAAUAUAUUGAACGGCAUCGUUUAAUAUUGAAAGCUCCGGCGGAUAGAGAUGGGCACGCGCAAGAUUAGCUAGUUGGUGAGGUAACGGCUCACCAAGGCAAUGAUCUUUAGGGGCCUGAGAGGGUGAUCCCCCACACUGGUACUGAGACACGGACCAGACUCCUACGGGAGGCAGCAGUGAGGAAUAUUGGUCAAUGGGUGCAAGCCUGAACCAGCCAUCCCGCGUGAAGGACGACUGCCCUAUGGGUUGUAAACUUCUUUUGUAUAGGGAUAAACCUUUCCACGUGUGGAAAGCUGAAGGUACUAUACGAAUAAGCACCGGCUAACUCCGUG
rnacentral:rRNA from 1 species